rnacentral:rRNA from 1 species
GCAGUAGCCACGGGAAUACGAAGGGUGCAAGCGUUAAUCGGAAUUACUGGGCGUAAAGCGUGCGUAGGCGGAUCUUUAAGUCAGGGGUGAAAUCCCGAGGCUCAACCUCGGAACUGCCUUUGAUACUGGAGAGCUUGAGUUCGGAAGAGAUUGGUGGAACAGCUAGUGUAGAGGUGAAAUUCGUAGAUAUUAGCUAGAAUACCAGUGGCGAAGGCGGCCAACUGGUCCGACACUGACGCUGAGGUGCGAAAGGGUGGGGAGCAAACAGGAUUAGAUACCCGCGUAGUCCCUGUCUCUUAUAC